rnacentral:sRNA from 1 species
UCGUCGUUAUCAUCGUGUUUCCUGAGC